UGCCCGAUGGUGUAAUGGUAGCACAACGGACUCUGACUCCGUUUGUUUAGGUUCGAGCCCUAAUCGGGCAGCCA
rnacentral:tRNA from 1 species